rnacentral:rRNA from 1 species
UCAAGCUAGAAAGAGCGCAAGGGGAAUGCCUUGGCAUCAGGAGCCGAUGAAGGACGCGACAAGCUGCGAUAAGCUUCGGGGAGCUGCAAAUAAGCAUUGAUCCGGAGAUUUCCGAAUGGGGAAACCCGGCACGGCAAUACCGUGUCAGCGUGCACUGAAUCAAAUAGGUGUACGUGGGGAACCGCCUGAACUGAAACAUCUAAGUAGGGCGAGGAAAAGACAUCAACCGAGAUUCCGCAAGUAGUGGCGAGCGAACGCGGAGGAGGCCAAACCAGAGGUCAUUGAUCUCUGGGGUAUGGACUUGCAUCAUGAUCAGAGGUAUCUAGUCGAAUGGCGUGGGAAAGCCAACCACAGAGGGUGAGAGUCCCGUAGACGAAAGAGAAGACUGACAGCGAGUAUCCAGAGUACCGCCGGACACGUGAAACCCGGUGGGAACAUGGGAGGACCACCUUCCAAGCCUAAAUACUACCUGAUGACCGAUAGUGGAGCAGUACCGUGAGGGAAAGGUGAAAAGAACCCCGGGAGGGGAGUGAAAUAGUACCUGAAACCUUGUGCUUACAAGCAGUCAGAGCACGUUAAAGUGUGAUGGCGUACCUUUUGUAGAAUGGUCCGGCGAGUUAUAGUCACUGGCGAGGUUAAGCAAUUCAGUUGUGGAGCCGAAGGGAAACCGAGUCUUAAUAGGGCGUCGAGUCAGUGGCCAUAGACCUGAAACCGGGUGACCUAUCCAUGAGCAGGUUGAAGUUGGUGUAAAAACCAAUGGAGGACCGAACCCACGUUCGUUGCAAUGACCGGGGAUGACUUGUGGAUAGCGGAGAAAUUCCAAUCGAACUCGGAGAUAGCUGGUUCUCCCCGAAAUAGCUUUAGGGCUAGCGUUGUGUUAGUUUACCGGAGGUAGAGCACUGAAUAGGCUAGGGGGCGAUGAGCUUACUGAACCUUAUCAAACUUCGAAUGCCGGAUAAAUGGUGCACAGCAGUCAGACAGUGUGAGAUAAGUUUCAUUGUCAAGAGGGAAACAGCCCAGACCCACAGCUAAGGUCCCAAAUGAACGCUAAGUGGAAAACGAUGUGGGGUUGCAAAAACAACCAGGAUGUUGGCUUAGAGGCAGCCACUCAUUAAAAGAGUGCGUAAUAGCUCACUGGUCGAGUGACCCUGCGCGGAAAAUAUAACGGGGCUAAGCGUCCAACCGAAGCUUGGGAUGUCUUAAUGACAUGGUAGGGGAGCGUCGUGUACGGGGUGAAGCAUGAGCGAGAGCACAUGUGGACUUUACACGAGUGAGAAUGCCGGAAUGAGUAGCGAGAAUUAUGUGGGAAUCAUAAUGGCCGAAAAUCUAAGGUUUCUUGGGGAAGGUUCGUCCGCCCAAGGUAAGCCGGGAGCUAAGGCGAGGCCGAAAGGCGUAGUCGAUGCACAUACGGUUGAAAUUCCGUAGCCGCCGAAAUUGUUAAGCACAGGGACACAUAGAGAUAUCCGAACCCGGGCGUUGGUUGACCCGGGCGCAAGGGACCGAACAUCAGUAGGGAAGUCGGAGAUGCUCUGUGGCGAGAAAAGCUGUGCGUAUUGAUUAGGCGCCCGUACCGCAAACCGACACAGGUAGAUGAGGAGAGAAUCCUAAGGCCAACGGGAGAAGGGUUGUUAAGGAACUCGGCAAAUUGACCCCGUAACUUCGGGAUAAGGGGAGCCUCCUACGGGAGGCCGCAGUGAAUAGGCCCAAGCAACUGUUUACCAAAAACACAGGUCUCUGCUAAAUCGAAAGAUGACGUAUAGGGGCUGACGCCUGCCCGGUGCCGGAAGGUUAAGAGGAGAGCUUAGCGCAAGCGAAGGUUCGAAUUGAAGCCCCGGUAAACGGCGGCCGUAACUAUAACGGUCCUAAGGUAGCGAAAUUCCUUGUCAGGUAAGUUCUGACCCGCACGAAUGGCGUAAUGAUUUGGGCACUGUCUCAACAGCCCGCCCGGCGAAA